CCCAAAAGGGCUACUUGCCUUCUCCUUCCACUUACCCAGACCCCUGCCUCCCUUACCCUUCUGCUAGGAACAUGUCUACAACUAUAUAAAUUCGUGUAAUUUUGACAUGAUAUUUGAAAAAGACAAUUUGGGCAGUAAAUAGCAGAAUUAAGUAGUGUCUUAAUGUAAAUGGUUUGUGUUACCACAAUACACUGUUCUAGCCAAAGCACAUUGCAUGUGACUCCUGUUGCACUAGUUUUUAGUAGCAAAAAUGAACCUGUAAAAGAAUGUAGGUUUUAAGGCUUUGGUAAUAUAAGUUAUUUCUUUCUUAUUUAUUUAUUUAUUUUUAAGAGAGUUUCAUUCUGUCGCCCAGGCUGGAGUGCAAUGGCGCGAUCUCGGCUCACUGCAACCUCUGUCUCCCAGGUUCAGGAAAAUGGCUUUGUAAAGAAGCUUGAGCCUAAAUCUGGCUGGAUGACUUUUCUAGAAGUUACAGGAAAGAUCUGUGAAAUGCUCUUCUGUCCUGAAGCAAUACUGUUGACCAGAAAGGACACUCCAUAUUGUGAAACCGGCCUAAUUUUUCUGACUCUUACGAAAACGAUUGCCAACACAUACUUCUACUUUUAAAUAAACAACUUUGAUGAUGUAACUUGACCUUCCAGAGUUACAGAAAUUUUGUCCCUAUUUAAUGAAUAAAUUGUAUGUAUUUUUCUCUAUA
rnacentral:lncRNA from 1 species